CGUGGUCACUCAGUUUUCCUCUCCUUAGCCACCCUCCCCACGCCUCCCUCUCUCUCUCACCACAGGCAAGAGCGCCUUACUCCCUCUUCCUCAUCUUCUCUCCCUUUGCUCCCCACUCGUGUGGUGAUGGCAGCCAUGGCAUGGCGGCCCAGCCGGCCACCCGCUCAUGCGCCGGCAACGGUGCGGUAGCGUGGCGACCCAACAUAGCCCCCACUCGUGCAGCCAGCGGCGACAUGGCAUUCCGACGCGGUCUCUAGCUCGUGCACCUGGCAGUGGCGUGGAGGAUCAACACCCGACCUACUGGAUCUUGCGGCGUGAAGGAUCCGCACACCCGACCACUAGAUCUGGCGGCGUGGAGGAUCUACACCGGCCACUAAAUCUAGCAGAAGCUCCACUGUGGCAAGCAUGGAGGAGUUCUGCUUUGAUCCGCUCUUUGACACAAUGAUGGCAUGGAGGCGCAUACUCUGGAGCCUGGGUGAAGGAGGUUGGCCGCGCGCUAAAUCCAGCGUGGAGGAGGUCGGAUGUGCCUGGAUCGAGGCAUCCAGCGGUGGUGGCGGUCUACGUCCUUGUUCCUGUGUGUGGCACGGUGGAGCCGGAGGUUCCGAUGUGCGGCAUGGCGAGGCCAGAUCCAGCUCGGAACGGGCUCACCGAUUGGCUCGUGGAUUUUUUUUUUGUUUUUUAUUGAUUAACCAAUGUGGACAUUCUAAGAAUCCCGCCUCCAUUAAUAGAUUAAUAGAGGUGGGUAAAAUAACCGCCACGAUUAUGUUAUGAUUAACCAAGGUUAUUGAUUGGAAGCAGUUGCAAUGCCCGCUUCCAAUAAGUCUUAUGUAGUAGUGUUUCUUUUAUGAUACAAUACACACACAUAUGCAACUAACCGGCGGCUAAGUUCAUCCUUCAA